GUUGUCGGAAUUACUGGGCGUAAAGGGUGCGUGAGGUGGUUUUUAAGUCAAAUGUGAAAGGCUACGGCUCAACCGUAGUAAUGCUUUUGAAACUAGGAAUCUAGAGUGCAGGAGAGGAGAGUAGAAUUCCUAGUGUAGCUCUGAAAUGCGUAGAGAUUAGGAGGAAUACCAGUAGCGAAGGCGGCUCUCUGGACUGUCACUGGCACUGAGGCACGAAAGCGUGGGGAGCAAACAGGAUUAGAUACCCUGGUAGUCCACGCCGUAAACGAUGAGUACUAGGUGUCGGGGUUACCAGGCCCUCGGUGCCGCAGCUAACGCAUUAAGUACUCCGCCUGGGAAGUACGCUCGCAAGAGUGUUACUCAAAGGAAUUGACGGGGACCCGCACAAGUAGCGGAGCAUGUGGUUUAAUUUUAAGCAACGCGAAGAACCUUACCUAAGCUUGACAUCCCACUGACCUCUCCUAAUCGGAGAUUCCCUUCGGGGCAGGGUGACAGGUGGUGCAUGGUUGUCGUCAGCUCGUGUCGUGAGAUGUUGGGUUAAGUCCCGCAACGAGCGCAACCCUUGCCUUUAGUUGCCAGCAUUAAGUUGGGCACUCUAGAGGGACUGCCGAGGAUAACUCGGAGGAAGGUGGGGAUGACGUCAAAUCAUCAUGCCCCUUAUGCUUAGGGCUACACACGUGCUACAAUGGGUGGUACAGAGGGUUGCCAAGCCGGGAGGUGGAAGCUAAUCCUUAAAGCCAUUCUCAGUUCGGAUUGUAGGCUGAAACUCGCCUACAUGAAGCUGGAGUUACUAGUAAUCGCAGAUCAGAAUGCUGCAAAGAAUGCGUUCCCGGGUCUUAACUUAA
rnacentral:rRNA from 1 species